UGAACAGGCAAAAGCUCAGAUUUGAAACCCUCGGGAUUGUAAUCUGGAGACCUGGAUUUGGCACGCUGACCAAGUCUUCUGGAACGGAGCGCCAUGGAGGGUGACAGCCCCGUAGCAGCAGCCACUGUAAAUCCGGGUCGACGAGUCGAGUUGUUUGGGAAUGCAGCUCUAAGUGGGUGGUAUGCUCCAUCUAAAGCUAAAUAUUGGCGAGAGACCGAUAGCGAACAAGUACUGUGAAGGAAAGAUGAAAAGAACUUUGAAAAGAGAGUGAAAAAGUACGUGAAAUUGUUGAAAUGGAAGGCAAUGAGGUGCGAUUGAACCGGACGUUUGCGGGCAGGACAAAAGCGCAGGCCGCCUCGGCAUUGCCUGCGUGCAUACUGCCUCGCGGACUACCAGUUCUAACAACGCCUUAUUGCACCCGUCUUG
rnacentral:rRNA from 1 species